rnacentral:rRNA from 1 species
AUGGCCGCCGCCGCCGCCUCUCGCGCCGCCGGCCGCCUCCUUUCACCCCGUCUCCUCAUCGCCUCGCGCCAUCUCCAAGCAAGUGCCUCGGAGGGAUCGGCGAGGGAUGCGUCCACAAGCUUCAUCCACCCCGCCGCCGUCGUCCACCCCGACGCCGCCAUCGGCCAGGGUGUCUCGGUAGGCCCAUUUUGCACCGUGGGGGCUUCAGCGAGGAUCAGUGAUGCUUGUCAGUUACAUACAGGGAGUCAUGUCACAGGACACACCGAGCUAGGAGAAGGAUGUGUUGUUCACACUGGUGCUAUUCUUGGUGCAGAUCUACCUGGACGAACAAUUAUUGGGGAAAACAAUGUAAUUGGGAACUAUGCUGUGGUUGGUGUUAAGUGUCAAGAUCUCAAAUAUAAGCCAGGAGAUGAAUGCUUUCUACGCAUUGGUAACAACAAUGAGAUCAGAGAGUACUGCUCUAUUCAUCGAUCUUCUAAAUCUUGUGACUGCACGGUUAUUGGUGACAAUAAUCUCAUAAUGGGGUCCUGCCAUGUAGCACAUGACUGCAAGAUUGGUAGCAAUAACAUCUUUGCUAAUAAUACUCUAUUUGGUGGCCAUGUUAUUGUUGAAGACUGCACUCAUACUGCUGGGGCUGUCGUUGUCCAUCAAUUUUGUCACAUUGGAUCAUUCUCAUUUCUAGGCGGAGGCUCUGUGGUUGCACAAGAUGUUCCAAGAUAUACGAUGGUUGCAGGUGAUAGAGCAGAGCUUCGUGGUCUGAAUCUUGAAGGUCUCAGGCGCAACGGUUUCUCAGACCAAGAGGUACGGAGCCUAAGGAAAGCAUAUAGGAAAGUAUUUAUGCCAGCUAGUAGUUCCCAGAGUAACUUUGAAGACCGGCUCGCCGAACUGGAGCGGGAAAUUGAGCUAUUGGAAUCUCCCUCUGUAUCCUAUAUGGUGGAAUCUAUUCGCACCUCAUUUGACCAAGGACGUCGUGGAAUUUGCAAAUUCAGAAGUUGGAACAUCUCAUAA